AGAUUCAGCUUUCCAAUGCCAAAGAGGAAUUAUUUUAGCAUUUGAAAGAACUCCACAUUCCAGUUGAUGUAAUAACUGUCUGGCAGAAGGAGAUCUUCCAUGCCGCCCAAGACAUCCAGUGCUCUAACUUGGAUGAAGGCGAUACAAAAGCUGCAGAGCGUUCAUCCGAGAAAGUGAGAUGUGCUUUUUUGGAUUUGCAGCUUCGGAUGUUCGGCUAUGUCACUUCGCGGAUUUCCGAGAAUCUUCGGUUAUGAUUUACGAGCUGUUAAAUAGUCCAUCUCAGUCCCUCUCGACCGAGGUGAUUUUGGUGGAUGGAAUCUUAUGCUGACCGGUGUGCGCACUCUGAUUACGUUGCAUCAUGGGCGUAAAACGAAAAACGAGUCAUUUACAUCCUGUCGCGGUCCAGUGAACAUCUCUGUUGGUAGCAAGAUAGCGUGAAUAAACGUGGAAUGUAAUGGUGAUUCACUGUCUGUUGCCGUUUCUUCGAAAGUUAAAUAGUGUUUGCGGGCCUACGCGACUCCUGUCAUUCCUCCGUGACAAAUUCGUUAUUAGGAAGCAGCUGAGGAGAUUCAGAAAGAAUCGAAACUGCAGCCUUGCCCAAGAAUCUAUUCAUCUCACAGCCGAUGGCUUUGUGAAUAAUAUCAAAUUCGCGAGUUAUAUAACGGGGAAUCGACCGUUGACUUGGAAACGUAUUACAAAGAGACAGCGACCUUCUCUAAUACACGAACCAUUUUUUCGUGUCAUAUUCUCUAAGGCGUAAAUACGGGAUUCGCGAAAGGAAAAGCCUUACGCCUCCCAAGACCAAAUUCGUUACGCUCAACGUUAAUUAAAAACGUACAGAGUUUCAAACAUGCUUAAAAAAGUGAGAAUACCCAGAGUAAGGUUUUGAGAAACCUACCUCUAGCGAUAUUUUCUGCGGGAGAGACAGUAUACUUGUAAACAAAAAAAUAGCGCGCCCAUAUGAAAAUAUUACCUUCUGUAACACGAUCUCACUCGGCUUUUCUAAACCUCAAGAGCAUACCGAUGAGGAAAUGACACCUUAAAACUAACCCUUAUUAUCACAUCGCAAACGAAAGACAUUAAAAGAUAUCUUAAUAACUUCCGGCUUACCCGGCGUGUCACCGUGUGUAUUGGAGAGUUAUUCAUCAAGUGACUCCUUCUCUAAUUCAACUGUCCUUCAUUCAGUGAUCAAGAUAAUAAAUUUACCUUACAACGCU